CGGGUGCACUGAUCCCAGCCGGGCCUUUCCCUCUGUGGAACCCCAUGGCCUUCACUGGCUGUGGUGGGGAAACAGGACUUUUACUUUGAAAAAAUUAGAGUGCUCCAGGCAGGCCUAUGCUCGAAUACAUUAGCAUGGAAAUAAUAGAAUAGGACGUGUGGUUCUAUUUUGUUGGUUUCUAGGACCGCCGUAAUGAUUAAUAGGGACAGUCGGGGGCAUCAGUAUUCAAUUGUCAGAGGUGAAAUUCUUGGAUCUAUUGAAGACUAACUACUGCGAAAGCAUUUGCCAAGGAUGUUUUCAUUGAUAAGGAACGAAAGUUAGGGGAUCGAAGACGAUCAGAUACCGUCGUAGUCUUAACUAUAAACUAUGCCGACUAGGGAUCGGACGAUGUUAUUCUUUGACGCGUUCGGCACCUUUCGAGAAAUCAAAGUGCUUGGGCUCCAGGGGGAGUAUGGUCGCAAGGCUGAAACUUAAAGAAAUUGACGGAAGGGCACCACCAGGGGUGGAACCUGCGGCUUAAUUUGACUCAACACGGGGAAACUCACCAGGUCCAGACACAGUGAGGAUUGACAGAUUGAGAGCUCUUUCUUGAUUCUGUGGGUGGUGGUGCAUGGCCGUUCUUAGUUGGUGGAGUGAUUUGUCUGCUUAAUUGCGAUAACGAACGAGACCUUAACCUGCUAAAUAGCCCGUACUGCUUUGGCAGUUCGCCGGCUUCUUAGAGGGACUAUCGG
rnacentral:rRNA from 1 species